UCUGAAUUCCUUCUUUUGUGAAGCGUCUGUUCAACUGGGCCUCUCUUGUCCAUUCUCCUAUUGGAAUGCUUACUUUUUUCUAAUUGAUUUGUAGUUUUUUAUAUUCUGAUAACUUCUCCAUUACCCAUUUUCUACCUGCCCCUCCUCCCAUGUAACCCAUAUUUUCUACAUUCUACAGAACACAUGAAAAAAGAAUUGGUGGAAGGAUUUCUGAUUUGGAUGGGGUUACGGAGAUGUUCCUGGUAUUGCUCCUGAUAUUUUUUGCAGGUCUCAAAAAUUUUAAAAUUAUUAAAAAACAAUAGCAACAACAAAACAGUUUUUAAAACUGCAUAGAAUAACAGCACUAACUUUUUCUAUCAGUUUUUAUUAAGUGGAAAAGGCAGAAACUGUAUUGAAUUGCAUCUGACUCUCUCUGCACCUGUCUAAGCUGUUCCCCUGAAGAAGCACGUUGCUCUCAACGGCCCAUCUUGUGCUCAGGAACACUACAGCUCUUGGUGGAAGACGUUUAACCCAGUUCUGAAGAGGUGUGCCAGGGUCCAUAUACUUACGGCUCAGCAAGCAUCAUGGUGCAGAUGCUCCACUGAACCACAGUCAUUUUGUGUUCCAUGGGCCUUCCAAAGCCAGCUGUGCAAGAACUCGGGACAAUUGAGAGGUAAGGAAAUUGAUUCAGCCAGUUUCUAGUAAAUAGGUAAAGGGAGUUCAGUUAUCAUACUGAACUUUACGAGUGAUUAGAUUUA